rnacentral:rRNA from 1 species
CCUACGGGUGGCAGCAGUGGGGAAUAUUGGACAAUGGGGGGAACCCUGAUCCAGCCAUGCCGCGUGUGUGAAGAAGGCCCUCGGGUUGUAAAGCACUUUCAGUGAGGAAGAACGCCUGGUGGUUAAUACCCAUCAGGAAAGACAUCACUCACAGAAGAAGCACCGGCUAACUCCGUGUCAGCAGCCGCGGUAAUACGGAGGGUGCGAGCGUUAAUCGGAAUUACUGGGCGUAAAGCGCGCGUAGGUGGCUUGAUAAGCCGGUUGUGAAAGCCCCGGGCUCAACCUGGGAACGGCAUCCGGAACUGUCAAGCUAGAGUGCAGGAGAGGAAGGUAGAAUUCCCGGUGUAGCGGUGAAAUGCGUAGAGAUCGGGAGGAAUACCAGUGGCGAAGGCGGCCUUCUGGACUGACACUGACACUGAGGUGCGAAAGCGUGGGUAGCAAACAGGAUUAGAUACCCCUGUAGUC